GCCUUGCAUUUCUAGCUCGAGGGUGAUGGUGGAGACCUACCAACUCAAAGGGGUCCCAUCACCCCAAAAAGCAACUGAAAAGAAUAAAAGUUGUGAGCUUCAUAGGAAUCGUCACCCAGCAGGCAAGACUCCCAGCGGAGAUCCUGGACUCGUGCAGUUACUAAAUACCAGCUGAGAGGUUAGGCUGAAGAUGUAAAAUUGCUAUUUCAAAACUGAAAAGAUAUCAACCCUGAAAUUUGGCUGAAGGGCAAAUAAUUUAAAGCUGGUGAAGAACAAUCUUUGAAACUGUUGUAACUGACUUGUCUUGUAGCUUUGUAUAGGUAAAAAGUAAUGGCGACUCUUUUGAGAGAGGUAAUAAAAAUGCUUUUGCGGCACUUUCCACUACAGC